rnacentral:rRNA from 1 species
AUUGAACGCUGGCGGCAUGCCUUACACAUGCAAGUCGAACGGCAGCGGGGGAGAAGCUUGCUUUUCCUGCCGGCGAGUGGCGAACGGGUGAGUAAUACAUCAGAACGUGCCCUGUAGUGGGGGAUAACUAGUCGAAAGAUUAGCUAAUACCGCAUACGACCUGAGGGUGAAAGUGGGGGACCGCAAGGCCUCAUGCUAUAGGAGCGGCCGAUGUCUGAUUAGCUAGUUGGUGGGGUAAAGGCCUACCAAGGCGACGAUCAGUAGCUGGUCUGAGAGGACGAGCAGCCAGACGGGGACUGAGACACGGCCCAGACGCCUACGGGAGGCAGCAGUGGGGAAUUUUGGACAAUGGGCGAAAGCCGGAUCCAGCAAUGCCGCGUGUGUGAAGAAGGCCUUCGGGUUGUAAAGCACUUUUGUCCGGAAAGAAAUGGCUCUGGUUAAUACCUGGGGUCGAUGACGGUACCGGAAGAAUAAGGACCGGCUAACUACGUGCCAGCAGCCGCCGUAAAAC